rnacentral:rRNA from 1 species
UACGAAGGGGGCUAGCGUUGUUCGGAAUUACUGGCGUAAAGCGCGCGCAGGCGGUCUUCCAAGUCAGUGGUGAAAGCCCGGAGCUCAACUCCGGAACUGCCAUUGAAACUGUUAGACUUGAGGAUGAGAGAGGUGAGUGGAAUUCCCAGUGUAGAGGUGAAAUUCGUAGAUAUUGGGAAGAACACCGGUGGCGAAGGCGGCUCACUGGCUCAUUACUGACGCUCAGGCGCGAUAGCGUGGGGAUCAAACAGG